rnacentral:rRNA from 1 species
AUUGAACGCUGGCGGCAGUCUUAAUACAUGCAAGUCGAGCGAGCGGCGGACGGGUGAGCAAUGUCUGGGAAACUGCCUGAUGGACGGGUAUAACUACUGGAACCGGUAGCUAAUACCGCAUACCACCAUAUGUGCCCAGACGGGAUUAGCUAGUCGGUGGGGUAAUGGCUCACCUAGGCGACGAUCCAUACCUGGUCUGAGAGGGUGACCAGCCACACUGGAACUGAGACACGGUCCAGACUCCUACGGGAGGCAGCAGUAGGGAAUAUUAGACAAUGGGCGAAAGCCUGAGGCAGCCAUGCCGCGUGUGUGAAGAAGGCCUUCGGGUUGUAAAGCACUGUCGUCGGAGAAGCGUUACUCACACAAAAAGCAACGGCUAACUCCGUGCCAGCAGCCGCGGUAAUUC